GGAAAGGUGGUAGAGUGGUCGAUUACAACGGUCUUGAAAACCGUCGUACCGAGAGGUACCGGGGGUUCGAAUCCCUCCCUUUCCGCAA
rnacentral:tRNA from 1 species